rnacentral:hammerhead_ribozyme from 1 species
AGGCGAAACGGCGCGCACCUUGCGCCGUCGCGGCGGGCGAGUGCCUGUCGCCUGAUGAUGCCAGCUAGCA